rnacentral:sRNA from 1 species
AGAAUAUAGAUUAAAUUUUUUUUGAAAUUGAUGCUAAUGUUUUAUGUAAAAGGCAACAUAAGGUAUUUUUUUUAUUAAGGAUUUUUUUUUCUUUCCUUGUAGGUGAAAAUUAUGAUUUCAAAUCUUUUAAAGAUGCAUUUCAAAUUACACUCAGCGUUUCUGUAGUACUGAUUGCUCUGUAUACUUGCAUGAUAUUGUUUUGGUGCUGGAAACAUGCGAAACAUUUACAAACUAUCGUAAUAAGAAAAGAACCAGAGGAAAUGGCGCCUGGGAAUUAUCAAGGUAGGAUACAAGAAGAAAAUAUUAUAUCAAA